rnacentral:rRNA from 1 species
GAUGAACGCUGGCGGCGUGCCUAAUACAUGCAAGUCGAGCGCGAGAUUGAGGAGCUUGCUCCUCAUGAUCGAGCGGCGGACGGGUGAGUAACACGUAGGCAACCUACCCUUGAGAUUGGGAUAACUACCGGAAACGGUAGCUAAUACCGGAUACGACUUUUCCACAUAAGUGGAAUGGUUAAAAGGCGGAUUUAUCUGCCGCCCAUGGAUGGGCCUGCGGUGCAUUAGCUAGUUGGUGAGGUAGUGGCUCACCAAGGCGACGAUGCAUAGCCGACCUGAGAGGGUGAUCGGCCACACUGGGACUGAGACACGGCCCAGACUCCUACGGGAGGCAGCAGUAGGGAAUCUUCCGCAAUGGACGAAAGUCUGACGGAGCAACGCCGCGUGAGUGAUGAAGGGUUUCGGCUCGUAAAACUCUGUUGUUAAGGAAGAACACUUGAGGUAGUAACUGGCCUUGAGAUGACGGUACUUAACCAGAAAGCCACGGCUAACUACGUGCCAGCAGCCGCGGUAA